CUCCUCUCCCUUUCCUGAUCCCUGAGGACCAGCUCAGUGGCGUGGGCGCUGCUCCCCGGUCUGAGAGCUUCAGGCUGUAAAUACCAGCUUCUCCUGGUGGAGUUGGCAAAAGGGAGCGUCAGUGCUGAGGGAGCUUCUGUCUCCUCCCUCAGUGUUUCUGCCCCAGUACGUUUUGGUUACUAAGACCCUUGAAUUCCCAUAUGAAUUGUAGCAACAGCUAGUCAGUUUCUGCAGAGGAGCCCGCUGGGAUUGUGAUCGAGAUCACGUUGAAUAUACGGAUCGUUCUGGGUAGCGCUGCCAUUCCAAGAGCGCUGUCAUUCCAAGAGUGCUGUAUUAUGAUCCAGUAAUCUGCGUGGUAUGUCUGUCCAGGUGCCCUCACCUCCAGUGGCAUCCAUGCAGACAUCAGCACUGAAACUGGCCAUGCUCAGAACUGCCUCAGCCCUGAAGACACAACUGACAAAUAGAAGGGGGCCACGCCCUGUUACAGCAGGUGCUCUCACUUUGUGGGUCCUUAUGUAACUGCGUGGUGUUAUUCAGGAUCACCCAUUCUACAUUGUGUGAAGCUGCUGCGGUGUCUCCUAGUUAUUUGCUUCUGAUCUGAGUAGCAGGAGGAAGGAACUCAGGGAGAGAUCCAGGAAGACAUCUGAACAUGUUAAGAGAUGACAGUCACAGCGACACAGGGAGCGAAGACACUUGCAGCAAAGUAAAAUCACUUCACACCUAUUGCAUCAGAGCUGCAGGUGUGGGAGAGCCUAAGCCUGUCUCAGAGUUCAGGGGACAAGUGGAAAGGAAUGUGUAAGAAUGCAGGUGACUCAGUUGGAAGCAUGCUUCAAAGCUGUCCGUGUCCUUGCCAUCCAGAAGCAGAGCCUGGAAACUUCUGAAUUUCUCCAGAAUGCAGUUUACAUUCACCUUCGACAGGCUCCUCUGCUCAGAUGUAAGAAUAACCUCUUUAAACUUCUUGAUGCAGCUCCUUAAUGAAGAUCUUGGGAAGGAAACCUAGCCAAAACCUGGGAGCAUUCCGAGGAGAGAAUUCAGCAGUGCAGCAUCCUCUCCGAGCUCUAUGAGUUGAUCGGCUUCCACUGCAAGUACUCCUUCUUCAAGCGGGUGGCCCCCGUGCAGCACGCGGCCCCCGGCAUCCUGGAGCCUGGUGGGAAGGCCUGCUACCGACUCCUUCUGCAGACAGUUCCUGGCUACAGUCUGUCGCUGGAUCUGCAGGACUUCAGUAAAGGUGUUGGAACUAAAACAUUGCUUCAGUCCCAUUAACCAUGCCUGGUUUGGGCCCUGCUGUCCUGUCUCAUCAGGGUGAAUUUUGAUUCAUGUAGAACAGGGCUCAGUAGACUUUUUCUGUCAAGGGGUUGGGAGUGAAUAUUUCAGGGUCUGAAAACCUCCUGAUCUCUGGUGCAGCUGCUCAGCUCUGCUGUUCAGACACCAGAGCAGCCGGACAAUCCACACACCCACAGAGCUUUAUUAACAGUGGUGGCUGGGGCUGGAUUGGGCAUAUGAACUGCAGUUUGUCCCCACAGCCUCCUCACUAUUGUCACCUGCACCAGAGCAUACAUUUGUGACAAUGGGUGAACCUACACUGACACGUCAUCAUUACCUAGAGCCCAUACUUGACACUAGGAUUUACACUUGGUGGUGUGCACUCUGUGGGUUUGGGCAGAUGUACAAUGACAUAUAUCCACCAUCACAGCAUCAUACAGAGUAAUCUGUCUU